rnacentral:rRNA from 1 species
GUCUACGGCCAUACCACCCUGAAUGCGCCCGAUCUCGUCUGAUCUCGGAAGCUAAGCAGGGUCGGGCCUGGUUAGUACUUGGAUGGGAGAAAUGAAAAGAUCUUGUUUUCC